AUGAUUAUCACACUAAGGUUUGUGAACAUCCAACAUCUCAUGCAUAAACAAAAUUUUAAAGAAAUAGAAAAAAUAUUUUUCCUUUUGAUAAGAACUCAGGAUUUACUCUUAACUGUCAUACAUAUUUAUCAUAUUGCACAUUACAUCCCUAGUACUAAUUAUAACAGAAACUUUGUACCUUUUGAUUGUCUUUGUCCAACCUCCCCCACGAUUAUUUUUGUGUAUCUUAAAAUUCCAACUUUUAUUUCUACUUUGAAAAUCUUGAUUCUUUUUAAAGUCCAGGCUCAGUUGUUUCUGAAUCGCUCUUUUCAGGUGCUCGACCAGGGGGCCAGCAUGACUGACUGCAAUGCCUCCCAGGGCCACCCCUCCUUCUUCCUUCUCCAAGGCAUUCCUGGGAUGGAGGACAAACACAAGUGGAUCUCUAUUCCUUUCGCUUCCAUGUACUUUGUCACCAUCGUGGGGAACUGCACCAUCCUCUUCACCAUCUCCACAGAGCGCUCCCUGCAUAAGCCCAUGUUCCUGCUCCUUGGCAUGCUGGCCCUCACGGACCUGGGCAUGUCCACAACCACCAUCCCCAAGGUGCUGUGCAUCUUCUGGUUUGACCAGACUGACAUCAGCUUUGAGGGCUGCCUGGUCCAGCUGUUCUUCCUCCACUCCAUCUCUGCCUUGCAGUCUGCCAUCCUCAUGUCCAUGGCCUUUGACCGCUAUGUGGCCAUCUGUGAGCCCCUGCGCUAUGCCACCAUCCUUUCCAACAGCCGCAUCAGGCUCAUCGGCCUUGUGAGUUUACUGAGAGCUGUCUUGCUCAUUCUCCCCAUGCCCAUCCUCCUCCAGAAGAUGCCCUUUCAUGCCAAGCAUGUCAUCCCCACCACCUACUGUGAGCACAUGGCUGUGGUGAAGAUGGUGUGUGUGGACACCACGCUCAACAGGGUGUAUGGUCUGGUGGUGGCCUUGUUGGUUGUUGGGGUAGACAUCUUAGCUAUUGCCUCAUCUUAUGUGCUGAUCAUCCGGGCUGUAAUGUGGCGCUCUUCUAUGAAAGCUCACCAAAAAGCAGUAAAUACCUGCACCACACAUAUCUGUGUCAUGCUUACCUCUUAUACUCCCUCCCUGUUUUCUUUUCUCACUCAUCGCUUUGGGCCAGGGAAUCCCACCUCAUGUGCACACAAUUCUUGGCAGCCUCUACUUCCUUGUACCUCCAGUGCUCAACCCUAUUAUUUAUGCAGUGAAAACCAAAGAGUUUCGGGACAAAUUGACAAAAUAUGGGUGCUGGAGGAAGGAGCCCAUAAAUAUCACCUAUGGUCAGAAACCUGUCUGAUUAUCUGGCACUGCUGGUUAUAA
rnacentral:lncRNA from 1 species